rnacentral:rRNA from 1 species
UACGUAGGUGGCUAGCGUUGUCCGGAUUUACUGGGCGUAAAGAGCGCGCAGGCGGUCGUUCAAGUCGAGUGUGAAAGCCCCCGGCUCAACUGGGGAGGGUCACUCGAUACUGAUCGACUCGAAGGCAGGAGAGGGAAGCGGAAUUCCCGGUGUAGUGGUGAAAUGCGCAGAUAUCAGGAAGAACACCCGUGGCGAAGGCGGUUCUCUGGGACGGUACUGACGCUGAGACGCGAAAGCGUGGGGAGCGAACAGG